AACCGUGACCUCCUGAGUGGCAAAAAUAGAAUAUUGGGGACUAGUUAUGGUUAUAGGAAAUAUUAAUCCUACUCUGUUAACCAUGAUUGCCUUGUGUUGGUUAAAGUAAGGACAUUCUGACCUGACUGGGAAGUGUACAGCCUCCCAGGACCUGGGAGUCAACCUUGGAACCAUUCUCAUUCAAGAACUGCCUAUCGUCAUGGAAAGAUUAACAACUUUAUUGCCCAAACAAUGGAG